AGGUAGUGACAAGAAAUAGCAGCACGAGGCGUAAGUUUCGUGACUGCAAUGAGUUGAUUUUAAAUCUCUCUAUCGAGAAACAAUUGGAGGGCAAGUCUGGUGCCAGCAGCCGCGGUAAUUCCAGCUCCAAUAGCGUAUAUUAAAGUUGUUGCAGUUAAAAAGCUCGUAGUUGAAUGUCUGCUCAUUGGUUACCAUCACUUUCGUGUUUGUGUAACUGGUGGGCAUCCUUCUAGGCGUUCCUUACGGAUGCGUUUAGAGCCUUUACUUUGAGAAAAUUAGAGCGUUCCAAGCAAGCGAUUGCUUUGAAUACUACAGCAUGGAAUAAUACUAUAGGACUUUUGAACCUAUUUGUUGGUAUUAGGUCGAGAGUAAUGAUUGAUAGGGGCA
rnacentral:rRNA from 1 species